AUAUGACAACGUCCUUUUUAUUGAAAGAUCCUCUCAGAGGCGUUGUCAUAAUAUAUGAAAUCUUCCUUGAGAAUGCUCGGGGCACAUUGCUGUGGAAGGAAGAAUGGAAAUUACAAUAACAAAAUCCUAAUUCUAAUAGAAUACUAAUAAUGCUCUAAUUAGACCAUAAUAAUACUAAUCAAGCUAAAUCAAAUUCAAAAAAACCUCAAAGAAAUUUCAAACAAACAAUAAGAAUUCUUAAAAAAAUAUUAGAAUGAUCACAAAUAUCAUUCAAAUACAUCUCAAUUCAAUCUUAAUUUAAUUCUAGUCAAAAUCUUAUUGAACUUCAUUCAAACUUUAGGCCAAAAAUAAUUAAAUCUUAAAUCCUAAUAAAAUUCUAAAUCCUAAACCAAACCCUAAAUCCUAAACCAAAUCCUAAAUAAAUCUUAAACCAAACCCCAACCAAAUCCUAAACCAGAUCUUAAAUCCUAAAUCAAAUCCUAUCCAAAUCCUAACCAAAUUCUAAACCAAAUCCUAAAUCCUAAAUCAAAUCUUAUCCAAAGCUUAACAAAAUUCUAAAGCAAAUCAUAAAUCCUAAAGAAGCCUAAAUCAACCCUAAUUAAAUCCUAACCAAAUCCUAAUUCAAAUCCUAAAUUCCAAAUCAAAUCCUAAAGCAAAUCCUAAAUCCUAAACAAAA
rnacentral:lncRNA from 1 species